GACGAACCGUACGAACGUUAUUCGGAAUCACUGGGCUUAAAGGGUGCGUAGGCGGCGCGACAAGUUGGGUGUGAAAUCUCCUGGCUCAACUGGGAGGGUGCGCCGGAAACUGGAGUGCUUGAGCGUGGGAGAGGAAAGCGGAAUUCCUGGUGUAGCGGUGAAAUGCGUAGAUAUCAGGAGGAACACCUGUGGUGUAGACGGCUUUCUGGACCAUAGCUGACGCUGAGACACGAAAGCGUGGGUAGCAAACAGG
rnacentral:rRNA from 1 species